ACAUCAGAAACGACCUUGCCAGAGUGGUGACUGCUCUCUGAUCUGCUUCUGGGGCAGGACAGAAUUCUUGGUCCCAAGCAGUCCCUGUUUCAUGUACUUCAAGGCCAGUGGCAUUUGAACAGAAAGAGGGCAGUGGAGAAGAAAGAACUUUAGGCUUGUUUUCCAUUAUUUGGUUGCUGCUACCCUCUUUGGGUCCCAAGAAAGUCUGGUGGCGAUCCGGCCACUUUCCUGGCCAGAGGAUAGGGAUCCGCCCGGCCCGGGAGCACAUUUCCUGAGCAUCGGCAGCAGACAUCUUGGUUCCGGGACCCUGCCGAGAGAACUCUGCACAGAUACCUUGUUGAAUAACAGGAGUCAGUAUUUUAUUCUACCCGAUGUAGGAGAUGUUGGAACAGUAAUCUAUGAAAUGGAAACACUGAUUAUAAGCAGAUCUUGGGGAAUCAUGAGACAGUGGAUGAGAAUUGGGAUGGCCAUCAUCACCACCAUCAUCAUGACCCUUCUUCAUUCACAGGUUUCUGCUAUGCAACUCAGAUGGCAUCUUGAGAUGAAUCUUUACCCCUAUUACCAUGUGCAAUCCUAGUACCCAGGAUGUUAGAAUAUACUUAACAGGCGAUUGGAGGAGAGGAAGAUUGUCGAAGCAGGACCAGCUGGGAUUCUCUGGCUGACUCCCAGGCGCAACUGUGAAGCAGCGGAUAUUGGGUGCUCUCCCACCUCGUCAGGAGCAGCGUUCUCCUGUCUGUUCUUGGCAUCUCGCAGCAUCCUGUGCCCUGCUAAGGUGUUAACUGACAACUGACAGAUUUUACUAAGAGCCUAUUCUCCUUGGUUGUAUUUUCAUUUUAAAAGCUGACUUAAAAACUUUACAAAUCAAACCUCUGCAAGUCAAGGCAUAACUUUCCUUCAGUAUAGCCCAUAAAUAGAUCAAAAUUCACUCAUCUUUUACAGGAAGAAAUAAACGUUCUCUUGACACCUGACAUUCUAGUAACUACCAUCCAAUGUUUACCAAUUUUCAUGAAUUUUUUUUAAACAAAGUGGUUCAUUGUCUCCUAUAAUAAUCUCUGAAUUAUUACAAAUGUAAUGUGGCUUCAUCUUCUUUUUUCAACUGCUCUCUUUAAGGAUGUCUUUAUCAGGAUCUAAAUGCCAAAUCCAGGGACUUGGCUUCUAUUUAAUUCAGUACUCCCUGGAAGAGUUGUGUUGUGUAAUUUGUCUGAUUGUCUGUCUGACCAACUUGAUGGUAAGUGUCUUUUUGUUUGAAUCUCUGCCUCAUUCAUAUUCAGAUCACUCUGAUCUUAUGUGAUACUUAGCUCCUAAUAAUAAUAUCAGGUCUAUUGGAAAUUGGAUGGUUUGGAAGCCUGGGUUGUUUACAUACUGGGACUAAGUACAGCAUUAAUGGAAUAAGAGAGAAGGUCCAUUCACCCAGGAGCCCUUCAAUAGAGACUUGCUCUUAAGACUGUAAGAACUGAAGAGACAAAAAAGGAACAGCUGGGCAGAUCCUCUUGGAGGGUUUGUUGAAAGCAAGCAGUAACAUUUUCAUUGGCACAUGGACUAGAGUAGAGACAAAUGACAGAACAAGGGGACUAUUCUAGUGUACAGUGAGAACAUGACUCCAGCUUUAACAAGAUAGUAUAUUUACACCCCUCCAUACAGUGACACAUCUGGGACUAUAUAGAAGGACACAAAAACAUUCAUAGCAAUGGAAAUGAAGGUGGCCUUUAAUCAUCUUUAAUGGCAUUUCUAAGAAAGCAAGUUAGUCCUGAGGAGACAGGCACAGGAUUUCAACCUGGAAGAAGACUUUUCAAAAUAUAAUAGUGACAAAGACCAGUUCAGGUCAUUUUCUCACAAUGUCAGCAACUGAAGUCUUGUUUUACAGAGUACUGGGAAUGGAACUUGAGAAACAGCGUGAACGGACUUCAGUAAGUAUGUGAACAGGUGAUAAGCAUGCUAAGGUGCACUGUGGCUGAGUUUUCUUUAGUCGGGUAUGUCUGGAAUAAGGCAGAAUAAUUUUAAUCCUGGCAUAUUCUGACUAUAACAAAAACAAAACUAUUGUAAUAGAAGCCAUCACUCCUAAAUAAACAUCUUGACCAUG
rnacentral:lncRNA from 1 species